AAUGAACGUUGGCGGCGUGGAUUAGGCAUGCAAGUCGCGCGACAAGGUUGCUAUAGCAAUAUAGUGACCGGAGGAGCGGCGAAAGGGUGAGGAACACGUGGAUACCUACCCUCAGGCUCGGGAUAGCGGCUGGAAACGGCCGGUAAUACCGAAUAACAUCUCCGGAUCAAAGCUCCGGCGCCUGAGGACGGGUCCGCGUCCCAUUAGCUAGUUGGCGGGGUAAUAGCCCACCAAGGCAAAGAUGGGUAGUGGGCGUGAGAGCGCGACCCACCACACUGGGACUGAGAUACUGCCCAGACACCUACGGGUGGCUGCAGUCGAGAAUCUUCGGCAAUGGGCGAAAGCCUGACCGAGCGACGCCGCGUGGAGGAUGAAGGCCUUCGGGUUGUAAACUCCUGUCGGAGGGGAAGAAAUUUUGACUACCCCCUCGGAGGAAGCCCGGGCUAAGUUCGUGCCAGCCGCCGCUGUAAAAC
rnacentral:rRNA from 1 species